rnacentral:sRNA from 14 species
UAAUGUGAGGGCCAGGCUUCUGGGGCAUCUGUCCCUCCAUUGACCACCAAGUUUGAGUCAGCUAAUCUAGCUGGUGCUGCUUUCCUCCGUCACUGCUCCAUGUGUGUCCCUCCCCAUGCAAGCUCCACCAGAGAGGAUCACAUCCCCUAUAGAAGAUCAUUCCUGGGUCAGGAGUCUGGGCAGAGGCUGGAGAGAUGGCUGCUCUUCCGGAGAACUUGGUCAUGCAGCACCCACAUGAAGGUUCACCAACAUCUGUAAUUCCAGGGGUUCUAACACUCUCU